UGAGCCAGUGACGCCAGCGGAUCAUGAACCAAGGGUUAUCAUUAAUCCAGUUUUUCAUACCUGAGGUCGUU
rnacentral:snoRNA from 10 species